GUGCUUGCUUCGGCGGCACAUAUACUAAAAUCGGAACGAUACAGAGAAGAUCAGCACAGCCCCUGCAUGAGGAUGACAUGCAAAUUUGUGAUGCAUUCCAUAUUUUU
ensembl:snRNA U6 U6 spliceosomal RNA